GACGAACGCUGGCGGCGUGCCUAAUACAUGCAAGUCGAACGCAGUUGGGACGGGUGAGUAACACGUGGGUAACCUCCCCAUCAGAGGGGAUAACCCUUGGAAACAGGUGCUAAACCGAUACUGCUGGAUGAACCCGCGGUGCAUUAGCUAGUUGGUGAGGUAACGGCUCACCAAGGCCACGAUGCAUAGCCGGUCUGAGAGGGUGAUCGGCCAAACUGGAACUGAGACACGGCCCAGACUCCUACGGGAGGCAGCAGUGGGGAAUCUUGGGCAAUGGGCGAAAGUCUGACCGAGCAAUGCCGCGUGAGUUAAGAAGGUUUUCGGAUCGUAAAACUCUGUUAUUAGAGAAGCGGUAUCUAAAGAAAAAGCAACGGCUAACUACGUGCCAGCAGCCGCGGUAAUUC
rnacentral:rRNA from 1 species